UUGCUCAGCAUGGACAUGAUCAGUUAGUGGCAUAGCUUGCCUGUGCAGAUUCAUUCUGGAAAACUAUGACUUUAAAACUUUUUCUCAACAAAGUUGACUGAGCCUGAUGGAUUCACAUUUUGGAAGUGGGGUUUCUCACCAAGUUUUCAUUCUGCAAGGCAUGCAGAUCGCCUGUAGCAUUUUCUCCACAUUCAAACAUGAACAACAAAAACCCAAAUGGAAACAGAUCUGCUGGCAAGAUGGCUUGGCUUAGGAGAAAAGGCCAGGGAGCCUAUCAGAUUCCUUUAGAAACUCUGGAAUUUUCACCUGGGCCUGGAGGGAAACUGCCACAGAAGAGGGUGGCCGUUGGCUGACUGGAUGGAAGGGUGAGUGGGCAGCAGACAUGGCCUCUGCAGAGGAGAAACUGAAGUCUGCUUUCCCAGCUCUUGGGAUUCCUUCCUGCGCUCCUGGAGGUUUGGGCACUGUUUUCUCAAGGAAAAAAGAAAAGAGACAAUGAUAUGUUGGAUCCAAUGUCUUCUUCGGUCCACAUAAUUCAUGACAACAUUUCUUGCUUGUCAUCACAACCAAGAACCCAAGAAAUCUGUCCUGAAAAUGCAACUGUGUUGAAAUCCUGAUCCAGAUCCAAACUCGCAGCUCUGAUAUAUCUCAGUAUCAGAACGAGGGGGUUUUUAUGUGUGUAAUACUUUUCAGAAUUUGGCUCUUGGUCUUGAACUUUAGAAAAGAUUCUCGCAUGCUUAAAAAUAGUCAUCUCCACUCGGUGUUGGGCAAUACUUGAAUGCAAAUGCAGCACAGAAGAUCGCUGGCACUGGAAGUUAACGAUUCCCAUUCAGGGCUGUAAAAUCUGCGCUUCUGGCCCAGGGCUGAGGACAGAUGGAUUAAGCAACCGGACAAGUUCAACCUUCAGUGAAUAUGGUUCCAAGGCAUAGCUUUAUCAUCCCUUUGACUGUUGAAAAUAAAUACAACUCUAUUGAAGAUC
rnacentral:lncRNA from 1 species